CUGAGUCAACGCUACCUAGACUCGCCUCAGCCUUUAGAAGAAUUCUCGGGCCUGGUGGUGGUUCUGCAUCCACUCCCUGCUUCAAUCCUGGUCACUGCUGGAUAGCACUCUACCUACUCUCCACCUCUACACCCUGCGUCAUUCCUCGUUUUCUCCUUGGGAUUCUGUACCCGUGUGCUGCCAGGGACGGCCGUGUGUGAAGUGGAUGGGCGUGGUACCAGCGCUAGAGCAGCUACCCCUGUCAGCCAGAGAAGGCCACAUCCCUGGUUUUUAGUGGAAGGCAGUGUUUAUUUUCAUCUGAGUUACCUGCCUUGAGCUUCCACAAGUGGCAACCUCGCCAGGAUUGUGCAUUCUCGACCUUCUGUUAUGGAGUAUAUGGAAUGCUAAGUCAUCGUUGGGGGAAAGGUACUGUUACCAUCCCCGGCUCAUUAUCAAAGGCUCGGGAGUAUUUUUUUUAUUCCGGUUAAAGUCCUUUUGUGUUGUCAGGUGUAGAGUUUUCUCCUGACUUAAGUAUUUUUUCUCUAUAGCUUCCUUGGGCGUCCUUACUUCAAGGGUUAUUUUCUGUGUUUUCUUGGUGUUGUGUUCAUGUCUAAUAUCAAGGAGCUAUUUUCAAGCGUUGCAACGAGACGAACGACAAAAGCAGCGUGAAGAGAAGGAAAAGGAAAGAAUCUGCCCUUGCCAUGUCGAAUUAAAGCUGAAGCUGUCACUGCAAGGACAUGGAACCGAUUCAAUGAUCUUGCCUGGGGAUUGUGGGACUAUUCCUUGACCUUCUCUAUCAGUCCUUAAGAUGAUCUGAUAUCCUAGUUCACGCUUUGAACGCAUUGCUGCCCUGCUCAACGUUCUUCAGGACACCUACGCCAUUCGACUGGGUAGUCUUCUCUCUGAUAUAAGAACGUUCUUGAAAGAAAACUACCUGCAGACCUUGGACGACGCUGUCAAAAUUUGGGCAGCUGCCCAUCAUGCUUACCCGAAAUGCACAACCCGUAAGGUGUCACAAUUGUGGGGAGCCAGGGCACAUUCGACCUCGAUGUCCGUAAGGUGGGUUUGUUUAGUGAUCCUACAACUCGUCUCUACUUUUAUUCUGGCACCAUCAAUAGAGCGAGAGUAUCUACCAUCAUACAUGACACUGGCUGUUCCUGUGUCAUUAUAUCUGAAGAAGCCUUACCUGAUGUAGACUUCUCCCAGUGUCCUAAAGUUCUUGUUUCUGACCAAUUAGGGAGAGUGGACUCCUUCCCUCGGAUACGAUGCUACCUUCGC